ensembl:snoRNA
GCUUUCACAGUAUAAACUCAGAAUUCUGUCAUGUCAGAAAUAUAUUUGUUGUACAAUGGGCCAGAGCAAUCGUGUGAUUUAUGCAUGGCAUCUGUGUUUCCUCAGCAGCUGCCGUAGGCCGGUCACUGGUACAUGA